rnacentral:rRNA from 1 species
GACGAACGCUGGCGGCGUGCCUAAUACAUGCAAGUCGAACGCAUUUUCUUUCACCGUAGCUUGCUACACCGAAAGAAAAUGAGUGGCGAACGGGUGAGUAACACGUGUGCAACCUGCCCAUCAGCGGGGGAUAACACUUGGAAACAGGUGCUAAUACCGCAUAAUUCCAUUUACCGCAUGGUAGAGGGAUGAAAGGCGCUUUUUCGUCACUGAUGGAUGGACCCGAGGUGCAUUAGCUAGUUGGUGGGGUAACGGCCUACCAAGGGUGCGAUGCAUAGCCGACCAUGAAGGGAGAUCGGCCAAACUGGGACUGGGGCAAGGGCCAGAACCCUACGGGAGGGAGCCGUAGGGGAUUUUCGGCAAUGGAGGCAAGGCUGAACGAGCAACGACGGGGGAGUGAAGAAGGUUUUCGGGUCGUAAAACUCUGUUGUUAGAGAAGGACAAGGAUGAGGGUGGAAAGUUCAUCCCUUGACGGUACCUAACCAGAAAGCCACGGCUAACUACGUG